rnacentral:rRNA from 1 species
CCUACGGGAGGCAGCAGUGGGGAAUUUUCCGCAAUGGGCGAAAGCCUGACGGAGCAGUACCGCGUGAGGGAAGACUGCCUAUGGGUUGUAAACCUCUUUUUUCAGGGAGGAAUCAAUGACGUGUACCUGAAGAAUAAGCAUCGGCUAACUCCGUGCCAGCAGCCGCGGUAAGACGGAGGAUGCAAGUGUUAUCCGGAAUCACUGGGCGUAAAGCGUCUGUAGGUUGUUGUUUAAGUCAACUGUUAAAUCUUGAGGCUCAACUUCAAAAUCGCAGUCGAAACUAUUCAACUUGAGUAUAGUAGGGGUAAAGGGAAUUUCCAGUGGAGCGGUGAAAUGCGUAGAUAUUGGAAAGAACACCGAUGGCGAAGGCACUUUACUGGGCUAUUACUGACACUCAGAGACGAAAGCUAGGGUAGCAAAUGGGAUUAGAUACCCCAGUAGUCCUAGCCGUAAACAAUGGAUACUAGAUGUUGAACAGAUCGACCUGUGCAGUAUCAAAGCUAACGCGUUAAGUAUCCCGCCUGGGAAGUAUGCUCGCAAGAGUGAAACUCAAAGGAAUUGACGG